ACGAUUCCAGCUCGCGCCUCUCCCUCCACACCUGCAUGCAAGCUGAGGGAGCUGGCUCCGGCCUUGGCCAGCCCAGAAAGGGGCUCCCACAGUGCAGCGGUGGGCUGAAGGCCUCCUCAAGUGCCGCCAAAGUGGGAGCCCAGGCAGAGGAGGCGCCGAGAGAGAGCGAGGGCUGUGAGGACUGCCAGCAGGCUGUCACCUCUCACUUCUGGGCUACAAACAUGGACAGCAUGUACUGAGGACUGGAGGCAACUGUAAUGCAACGUUACUGCUGAAAGCAUCCUGAGUGACACAAACUUGAAGCAUGCAAGAGGACUAAAUAACUUCCAAAGUCACACAUAUUGCAUGUCAAGAGCCAGCUUCAAACUCAAGUCCCUGUGACCAGAGGUCGAUGCUCUAAACACAUUUCUGCAUGACCUGCUUGUGGCAGCCUGGAGAAAUUCUACAUAAAUCUUCUCAGAUUCCAGAGGCUGCGAGGUCUGAGAUCAAGGAUCUGACACCUGGUGAGGGCCUUUUUGCUGCAUCAUUUCACAUAGAGACAAAAAGAUUCUCACCUGUAAGCUUGAAUUAUGUCUACAUCAUGCUUGGGAAAUGUCCAUAUAUUCUAAGCUUGAAACUGCAGUGAUGAGGACGUCACCACUUCCAGAGAGAACACUUUACUACCAGGCAACUUGAGUACAAUAGGCAGCCACAAAUAUCAUCCUUGCUAGCCAGGAAUGACAAGGAGCAAGCCACAUGAGGAGUCAGAAAAGAUUAUUCCAGGCAGGGCUGAGAUCUGCAUUAUGGUCUGGAGGCUGCCCCAGUCUCUCCUUUACCUCCAUAUUUUUCUCACAGUUCUGGAGACUUUAAGACCAAGAUCAAGAUGCUGGCAAGGACUUUUCUUCAUCAUGUGAAGAAGCCAACACAGACAUCAACUCUUGCAGAAAUAUUUACAUUCCAGGAUGGGUGGAAUAUUCAUCCUCUAAGACACUCUCCUUACUGCUCAUUUCACUUCUGGAGAAAGGGUCUCACUGUUCUGCUCAGGCUGGACUAGAACUCCUGGGUUCAAGUGAUGUUCCUGCUGCAGCUUCUUCAGUAGCUGUGACUACAGACGAACCACAUUGGUCUCUGAAAGGAGAAUGGACCUGGAGAACAAGACAGGAAGACAAUAUCAGGUAGGAGGCUCUGGGAUCAGUUAAGACAACUGGCCAUGAAGACUUCAAUGAAGGGGGCAGUAGUGGGAAGGAAUUGUAUUUAAGGAACAUUUACUUGAUGUACAGUCUGCAUAACUUUCGUUUGACUAAAUUUGAAGCAUGAGAGUAAAAGAGGAAGAAAUGUGGAUAUAUUUGUAAAAAUGAUACUGGAUUGUAUAAUAAAUAAAUUAUAAAUUUCCAUGGCUUGAUAAAAUAGAGCUUUAUUUCUCAGAGACUUUCCAGAACAGAUGUUCCUGACAGAUGACUGUCUUUCUUCCAUGUGGUGACUUAGGGAACCCAAAUGUAUCACCCUGUGACUCUGUCAUGCCCUCAUGCCUUGGAAUUCUUUUCAUACAACUAGUAGAGAGGGAAAUAGAGUACCAGGAAGAAGAGAUACUUCCUCGAAGCUCCAGACUGACAAUUACAUAUAUAACUUCCACUUAUAUUGCACUGUCUAUUAGUCACAUGGCUAGGUCUGAAUAUAGUACUCCCCACCUAUGUAUGAGGGGCAUGUUCCAAGACCCCCAGUGAACUCCUGAAACCUCAAUAGCACCAAACCCUGCAUAUACUAUGUUUUUUCAAUCUGAUAAUUGAGAUAUCUACUAAGUGACUAAUUG
rnacentral:lncRNA from 1 species